rnacentral:rRNA from 1 species
UACGUAGGGUCCGAGCGUUGUCCGGAAUUACUGGGCGUAAAGAGCUCGUAGGUGGUUUGUCGCGUUGUUCGUGAAAACUCACAGCUUAACUGUGGGCGUGCGGGCGAUACGGGCAGACUGGAGUACUGCAGGGGAGACUGGAAUUCCUGGUGUAGCGGUGGAAUGCGCAGAUAUCAGGAGGAACACCGGUGGCGAAGGCGGGUCUCUGGGCAGUAACUGACGCUGGAGGAGCGAAAAGCGUGGGGAGCAAACAGG